GAUGAACGCUAGCGGGAGGCCUAACACAUGCAAGCCGAGCGGUAUUUCUUCUUCGGGUGAGUACUAGUGGCGCACGGGUGAGGAACGCGUGGAUAAUCUGCCUUAGAGUGGGGGAUAACUAGUCGAGAGAUUAGCUAAUACCGCAUAAGACCACAGGAGCUGCGGCUCAAGGGGUCAAAGGUUUUUCGCUCUAAGAUGAGUCCGCGUAAGAUUAGCUAGUUGGUGAGGUAACGGCUCACCAAGGCGACGAUCUUUAACUGGUCUGAGGGGAUGAUCAGUCACACUGGAACUGAGACACGGUCCAGACUCCUACGGGAGGCAGCAGUAGGGAAUAUUGCACAAUGGAGGAAACUCUGAUGCAGCGACGCCGCGUGAGUGAUGAAGGCCUUCGGGUCGUAAAGCUCUGUCGCAGGGGAAUAACACAAUGAAUGUACCCUGUAAGAAAGGAUCGGCUAACUUCGUGCCAGCCGCCGCCGUAACAC
rnacentral:rRNA from 1 species